GACGAACGCUGGCGGCGUGCCUAAUACAUGCAAGUCGAGCGGAAGUUGGAGAGCUUGCUCUUCAACUUUAGCGGCGGACGGGUGAGUAACACGUGGGCAACCUGCCCUGCAGAUCGGGAUAACUCCGGGAAACCGGUGCUAAUACCGAAUAGUUUUCGCCACCUCCUGGUGGCGUACGGAAAGACGGUUUCGGCUGUCACUGCAGGAUGGGCCCGCGGCGCAUUAGCUAGUUGGUGGGGUAACAGCCCACCAAGGCAACGAUGCGUAGCCGACCUGAGAGGGUGAUCGGCCACACUGGGACUGAGACACGGCCCAGACUCCUACGGGAGGCAGCAGUAGGGAAUCUUCCGCAAUGGACGAAAGUCUGACGGAGCAACGCCGCGUGAGUGACGAAGGUUUUCGGAUCGUAAAACUCUGUUGUGAGGGAAGAACAAGUACCAACUAACUACUGGUACCUUGACGGUACCUCACCAGAAAGCCACGGCUAACUACGUGCCAGCCGCCGCCGUAAUAC
rnacentral:rRNA from 1 species